AUACUUACCUGGCAGGGGAGACAGCACCAUCACGAAGGCGGCUUUCCCAGGGCGAGGCUGCGCCUUUGCACUGGGGACCUGCUGAGCCCUGCGGUCUCCCCAAAUGCGGGAAACUUGGUUGCGUAAUUUGUGGUAGUGGGGGGCUGCCUGCGCGCUCUCCCCUG
rnacentral:snRNA from 1 species